rnacentral:misc_RNA from 1 species
UCACCGCUUGCGCGGGCAGUCUCAUUAGAGUCCCCAGCUUUACCUGAUGGCAACUAAUGAUAGGGGUUGCGCUCGUUGCAGGACUUAACCUAACACCUCACGGCACGAGCUGACGACAGCCAUGCAGCACCUAGUUUCUGGUCAUUGCUGACUGACAUGUUUCCACAUCAUUCCAUAACUUUCAAGCCCGGGUAAGGUUCCUCGCGUAUCAUCGAAUUAAACCACAUGCUCCUCCGCUUGUGCGGGCCCCCGUCAAUUCCUUUGAGUUUCAACCUUGCGGUCGUACUUCCCAGGUGGAUUACUUAAUGCUUUCGCUUAGACGCGUACUGUGUAUCGCACACAUCGAGUAAUCAUCGUUUAGGGCAUGGACUAC